AGAGUGCCCCUUUAAAUGAAGGCGCGUCGAGCUGUAAUUACUGGGAAUAAGGCAGCGCGGACGUAACGUUUCAUUUCGGCCUCCAGUCGCACAAGCGCAAGAUGGGCGACCUCGAGUUGACAAGCGCUCUUGGAAUGUUGGAGCCAGACGGAGCCAAAAUGAAAGACAAUCCCUCCAAAAAGGAAAAAAAAAACAGAGGAUAGGCUCCGUAUAACUAACCCAGAGUGGAUCAACACCUCCGUCAGGUACCGCUGUGAAGGCUUCGGCAGCUUUCUGCAGAAAACCUAGAUUUACUAGUGCACUUCAAUCAAAUAAAAAUGAUGAAAAAAAGCAGUGAAUCAAACUGUGAUGUGUGGCUGCGUGGAGACCAGGUGUUCUCUCAGGGCUGUUGCACUCCGUGGGAACACAUCAGACGAGAUUGCGCUGUUCUAUUAUUCCCUCAGCCUCGCGAGGGAGGAGGAGGAGCACCACGGGCUGAUCAGAUUCAGCGCUGUCGUGCGAUAGCCUGUGGCUGGCUUCCACCUCUGUGCAAACUUGUGCAUCAGCGCCUAUAGCAAGGAGCGCAACUGACACUCACUCACUCGGCGGCCCAUUCCUCAUACUUCAACCGAGGCAGGUAUUUGGGCUCGAGCUUUGUGCGUGCCUGCGGCAUCUGGACACACAGCUGGCACACACAGACGCCGAGCACAAAACAGCGCAGCCUUACUCCACGAGACAAGCAAUAUCUGUGCCCAUCAGUGACGAGUGACAAAGUGACCUCAAACAAGACAAGGAACUCCCUACAAGCUUGUGUAUUAUGGGCA